rnacentral:rRNA from 1 species
CCCUUAGAUGUUUUGGGCCGCACGCGCGCUACACUGACGAUGGCAACGAGUUUUUCCUUCGCCGAAAGGUGUGGGUAAUCUUUUGAAACAUCGUCGUGCUGGGGAUAGAUCAUUGCAAUUUUUGAUCUUGAACGAGGAAUUCCUAGUAAGCGCGAGUCAUCAGCUCGCGUUGAUUACGUCCCUGCCCUUUGUACACACCGCCCGUCGCUACUACCGAUUGAAUGGUUUAGUGAGGACUCCUGAUUGGCGCCGCCGCCCCGGCAACGGAGCAGCGGACUGCCGAAAAGUUGUUCAAACUUGAUCAUUUAGAGGAAGUAAAAGUCGUAACA